rnacentral:misc_RNA from 1 species
AAGUCGUAACAAGGUUUCCGUAGGUGAACCUGCAGAAGGAUCAUUAGUGAUUGGCCUCUGGCCCCAAUCGCAGGCCCUGCCUCGGUCGUCAUCCAAAACCCCUGUGAACCGUGGCCUCCGGGCCGUAUUUUAAAAACAUCAGUGUAAAGAAUGUAAAUACCUUGAAAAAACAAAACUUUCAACAACGGAUCUCUUGGCUCUC